rnacentral:lncRNA from 1 species
GUAGGUCGGUUGUAGGUCUGUCGUUCACGAGGUUCUCUUUAAUCUUUCCUAGUCACUAUCUCCAGUGUUUCUUGAGUUAUGGCUUGGGUGGGUGAACGACAGACCUACAACCGACCUACCAGAGGUGUGGACCUGCAUACUGGAGAGCGGCCCUGGCCGACCGGUGGAUGGGGGCUGGAUUCUUUGGGACAUUUGUUUGCUAUUUAUAUACGCAGGUUGAUGACUGGUUUCUAUGCGUGUGUACAUGUGCCCUAUGUUUGUGUGUUUAUUGGUAUAAGUUGGGCUUGAUCUGCGCAUGACUCCGAUUUGGA